rnacentral:rRNA from 1 species
AGGCCCUUUCGGGGGUACACGAGCGGCGAACGGGUGAGUAACACGUGGGUGACCUGCCCUCCACUCUGGGAUAAGCCCGGGAAACUGGGUCUAAUACCGGAUAGGACCACUGAUCGCAUGGUUGGUGGUGGAAAGUUUUUUCGGUGGGGGAUGGGCCCGCGGCCUAUCAGCUUGUUGGUGGGGUGAUGGCCUACCAAGGCGGUGACGGGUAGCCGGCCUGAGAGGGCGACCGGCCACACUGGGACUGAGACACGGCCCAGACUCCUACGGGAGGCAGCAGUGGGGAAUAUUGCGCAAUGGGCGGAAGCCUGACGCAGCGACGCCGCGUGGGGGAUGACGGCCUUCGGGUUGUAAACCUCUUUCGCCAGGGACGAAGAGCAAUUGACGGUACCUGGAGAAGAAGCACCGGCCAACUACGUGCCAGCAGCCGCGGUAACACGUAGGGUGCGAGCGUUGUCCGGAAUUAUUGGGCGUAAAGAGCUCGUAGGCGGUGUGUCGCGUCGGCCGUGAAAACUUGGGGCUUAACUCUGAGCGUGCGGUCGAUACGGGCAUCACUUGAGUUCGGCAGGGGAGACUGGAAUUCCUGGUGUAGCGGUGAAAUGCGCAGAUAUCAGGAGGAACACCGGUGGCGAAGGCGGGUCUCUGGGCCGAUACUGACGCUGAGGAGCGAAAGCGUGGGGAGCGAACAGGAUUAGAUACCCUGGUAGUCCACGCCGUAAACGUUGGGCGCUAGGUGUGGGGACCAUUC